rnacentral:rRNA from 1 species
CAGCAGCCGCGGUAAUACAGAGGGUGCGAGCGUUAAUCGGAUUUACUUGGCGUAAAGCGUGCGUAGGCGGCUUCUUAAGUCGGAUGUGAAAUCCCUGAGCUUAACUUAGGAAUUGCAUUCGAUACUGGGAAGCUAGAGUAUGGGAGAGGAUGGUAGAAUUCCAGGUGUAGCGGUGAAAUGCGUAGAGAUCUGGAGGAAUACCGAUGGCGAAGGCAGCCAUCUGGCCUAAUACUGACGCUGAGGUACGAAAGCAUGGGGAGCAAACAGGAUUAGAUACCCGUGUAGUCCCUGUCUCUUAUAC